CAAAAUCGACAACUCUUGGAUCUUUUUUUCAACGAAAAGCGGAUGACUGUAUUUUUGCGAGAGCAUUUUUUCAUUCAUCAACUUACGACCAGGUGUUGGAUUGUUGUUCCUCUAAUUGCACGAUUCGUGCGAUCAUUAAUCGACGCAGAGAUCUCCGUUUCGUUUCGCACGCCACUGCGCGGUACUCGCGAUUUUGUCAACAGGAUUUCAUCCGUCACUCGAGAGACACGACCAGACGAAAAAUAUAAUUUUGCCAUCAGAUCUUCGGUCUCUCGACUACUGCACGCUAUCCGAUGCUUUCCGAAAGACGAGCGCGCGACGGUGACCUCGGAGAUUCACUUGGAUCUUCCGACUCGGGGCACAUUUGGAAAUGCAAGGUGCAAAUUCAUCGCAUUCGUCUUAAUUACGAAGUUGGGAGGAAAAAAUAAGUGGAGACGAGAGAAAUGAAACGUUUGAGGAAAACAAUUCGGUGUGCAAGCAAUUGGAAAUACUCCACGAAAUUUUAGCCCUGCGUGAUUCGAUUCGUUGCGACAUCGGUUGCGGUUGGAAAAAUCGAUUAGUACGUAACGCCCAUUACAGAGACUUGUAAAAUAUUUGUUUUCCAGUUCCAGGCAAUGAUAAUAAUUGAAACUUGCUUUGGGCUACCGCUGGGGUUUCAGUCGACCACAGAUUACUGUAAUUAGAGGAUAAAAAAAUUAGUAUCCAUUCAAAAAGUCGAGUUAGUUUGUCAUUUGAAUCGCACGAACAAUCUUGGAUUCUAAUGAAAGACGUUGGAACACGAGACGAGAAAAAAAAAAAAGAUCAGGAUCUCUUACAUAGUGCAAAAUUACACUACACUUUUGAAGUUGAAUAUUAUAAAAGCAUGUAUUAUGCAUUGCGUAAUAAUAUCUAACCAAAGUUAACGUAAAAACUCGAUUCCUUCAUUAUUAUUGCACUGCUUUGCUGCUUUGAUAUCACAUUCUGCUGAACAAGCGUUAUUAUUUCAUCGAUUAUGUAUGGCGUUGUACUGUUGUUUAUUCAACGAGCUGUAUUAUAUUUUCAUUUCCUCGUUUAUAUUUCACGUUGACAUUGAAAUUCGCAUAGUUAUUUAAUUACCGUGUCUUCGAUAUUUCGGUAUUUAAUUAGUAUACCGCUUUAUAUUUCUCUCUCUCCAUCUCAAUGUUUGAUCAAUAUUCUUGAGGAAAAUUCCUCUUUUUUCCGGGGUGAUUUAUUUUCUCUCUCGUUGCACGUGGAAUUUUUUCUUUUUUUUUUUUCACCUGCAACGAAAAUUAAAGCGCACGCUUCGCGAUCGUUGAAAAUUAAAAAAGUGUAGAAUGACCAAUUUCUGAAAUCGAUUCACGUUUGGUCACUGGAAUCCCGCCAAAAACUAAUCUAAAAUUAGAACACAGACCGGUUGUUUUUAGUUGGAGCGGUAAUUGUUUAUUAUCCGUUUAAACUUUCUCCACGUAUAACCAAACCUGGGAAAUGUGAUGCGAUUAACAAUGCCAUAAAACCGGACAAGGAGACGCAUAUUAUUAUGCCUGCAUUAUAUUUUCAUCGUUAAGCGUACCGAACACGUACACGCUCAUACCGCCGGAACGUGGAGUGAAACGAGACUGGAUUACGAAUGUUCUUUAAAAUAUGAAGCUGUCGGACGAAUGCGCUACGAUACAUCGUAUUUCAAUUGGAUAAAUCUGGUGGCAAAAUAUACAUCAAAAGAACAUUCAAAUUCUUAUUAUCAGCCAAAAGACACGCGAUACAGUAACAUUGACGUCAGUGAUGGAAAAGAAGAGAGAAAAGCAGGGUGUGAUUUCUUUCAAGUUCAUUCUUCUCUCGAUUUUCAGAACUCGAGAACUUCUACCUUAUCAGUUGUACGAAUUUCGCAUUAAUUGAAUGCUUUCUCGCUGGAGAAUCAGGUUUCAAAAACUCGGAAGGAAAUCGGUUCCCUAAUCAUCCCCUUUUAAAAAGAAUUGAAAUGCCGACAGGCUACGCGUUACAAUUUUUGCUCCACAUUUGUCCUACAUAGAGUCAGGAAAAAAAGCCUCGUUAUAACGUCGAGUGAUCCACGAAGUUAUUCCUUGGAAGAUCUUUUCGAGUGUCACGCUGAUUUGCAUCGAGUAUACAGUCGUUCCAUCAUAUUGAGCGGUGCGAGUCAAGCGAUAAACCCCGAUCACCUUGAUCCUUGGACAAUAUAUGGAAGAUCUGGAAGAUGGUGGGUAAAAAUGAAGUACGAGAAAACACAUCGAGAUAACCGGGAGCAAAAAAUUACAAUUAUGUAAACGUCUCGACAACGUGCUAUUCAAUGCUUCGGUUCACCUCAAGUAUUAGAAUUUUCUGAGCAUAGAAUUUAUUUCUAUUCUUCAUGCCGGUCAGAUGACUCGAAGCCGAAGCAUUUCGAAUUUGCGAACGAAUGUUAAUUAAUGGUAAUUUUGUGUUCACGGAUCUUCCAACGAAGAGGACAUAAAAAAGAAACAUGGUAGAAGAAAUUGACGCGAGAAUCGAUUUUUUCCCAGUUAUGUUAAGCGACAAAAAAAAAAAAGAAGGUAUUUGAGAUUUGAUUAAUCUAAUUCGGGACCGAGAUUAUGAAGAAAAAAAAGACUAAAAAACAUCACACCAAUCCUGAUAAAUAUGACUACUUCGCUGUGCUUUUUUUACCACUCGUUUCACGUUUCGUUCAGUUACUUUUUUUUAUUCACUCUUUCACAAAGAACGAAAAAUGAGAAUUGAUCAACUCGCGACUCUGGAAAUACAAAAGACAGGUAUAAGAAAUUAAAACUCGGCGUUACAUUACUGUAUUCGACCACUCGUAUAUCUCACGUUGCUUACGUCAAACAACAAAUGAGUUGACGCAGAUGAUUCAAAAAUUAAAAUAAUAAUUACAAUGGAAACGAUUCAAUAAAAAAUUCUCGUACGACAAUUAACGAAAUAAUAUUUAUUUCUCGUUUUACAAUGAGCGAGUGUAAAAACUUCACGUACAGGUAUAUCUAUGGGUAACAUAUAAUCAUGUUCUAACGAGU